UACGUAGGGGGCAAGCGUUUGUCCGGAAUCAUUGGGCGUAAAGAGCGUGUAGGCGGCCCGGUAAGUCCGCUGUGAAAGUCCAGGGCUCAACCCUGGGAUGCCGGUGGAUACUGUCGGGCUCGAGUCCGGAAGAGGAGUGUGGAAUUCCUGGUGUAGCGGUGAAAUGCGCAGAUAUCAGGAAGAACACCCGUGGCGAAGGCGGCUCUCUGGGACGGUACUGACGCUGAGACGCGAAAGCGUGGGGAGCGAACAGG
rnacentral:rRNA from 1 species